GCAUAGCCAAAUGGAUAAGGCAUCAGACUUCGAAUCUGAAGAUUGUGGGUUCAACUCCCGCUGUGA
rnacentral:ncRNA from 11 species